ensembl:misc_RNA 7SK 7SK RNA
GGAUGUGCGUGUGAUCUGGCUGUGACACCUGUCAUCCCAUUGAUCGCCAGGGUUGAUUCGGCUGAUCUGGCUGGCUAGAUGGGUGUCCCCUUCCUCCCUCACGGCUCCAUGUGUGUCUCUCCCAAAGCUGUGUGCUAGGUCGAAGAGGACAACCAUCCCCGAUAGAGGAGGACCGUUCUUCUCGGUCAAGAGUAUACGAGCAGCUGUGCUCCCCUGCUAGAAUCUCCAAACAAGGUAUCUCAUUGUCAUGAAAUGGAAGAAUUAUUGUUAAAAUGUCCACUCUACCCAAAGCAAUGUAAACAGUGAAUGCAUUU